AACGAACGCUGGCGGCAGGCUUAACACAUGCAAGUCGAACGGACGUAGCAAUACGUUAGUGGCAGACGGGUGAGUAACGCGUGGGAACGUGCCCUAUGGUCUGGAAUAACUCAGGGAAACUUGAGCUAAUACCGGAUAAGCCCUACGGGGGAAAGAUUUAUUGCCAUUGGAGCGGCCCGCGUCUGAUUAGCUAGUUGGUGAGGUAAUGGCUCACCAAGGCGACGAUCAGUAGCUGGUCUGAGAGGAUGACCAGCCACACUGGGACUGAGACACGGCCCAGACUCCUACGGGUGGCUG
rnacentral:rRNA from 1 species